GCAUAUCAAUAAGCGGAGGGAAAAAAGAAAACUAACAAGGAUUCCCCCUAGUAACUGCGAGUGAAGCGGGAAAAGCUCAAAUUUAAAAUCUGGCGGUCUUUGGCCGUCCGAGUUGUAAUCUAGAGAAGUGCUAUCCGCGCUGGACCGUGUACAAGUCUCCUGGAACGGAGCGUCAUAGAGGGUGAGAAUCCCGUCUUUGACACGGACUACCAGGGCUUUGUGAUGUGCUCUCAAAGAGUCGAGUUGUUUGGGAAUGCAGCUCUAAAUGGGUGGUAAAUUCCAUCUAAAGCUAAAUAUUGGCGAGAGACCGAUAGCGAACAAGUACCGUGAGGGAAAGAUGAAAAGAACUUUGGAAAGAGAGUUAAACAGUACGUGAAAUUGUUGAAAGGGAAACGCUUGAAGUCAGUCGCGUUGGCUGGGGAUCAACCUUGCUCUUUUGCUUGGUGUACUUCCCAGUUGACGGGUCAGCAUCAAUUUUGACCAAUGGAAAAAGGUCAGGGGAAUGUGGCAUCUUCGGAUGUGUUAUAGCCCUUGGUUGCAUACAUUGGUUGGGAUUGAGGAACUCAGCAUGCCGCAAGGCCGGGUCUUUGACCACGUACAUGCUUAGGAUGCUGGCAUAAUGGCUUUAAUCGACCCGUCUUGAAACACGGACCAAGGAGUCUAACAUGCCCGCGAGUGUUUGGGUGGAAAACCCGGACGCGUAAUGAAAGUGAAAGUUGAGAUCCCUAUCGUGGGGAGCAUCGACGCCCGGACCAGACCUUUUGUGACGGUUCCCGCGGUAGAGCGUGUAUGUUGGGGACCCCGAAAGAUGGUGAACUAUGCCCUGAAUAGGGGUGAAGCCAGAGGGAAACUCUGGUGGGAGGCUCGUAGCGAUUCUGACGUGCAAAUCGAUCGUCGAAAUUUGGGUAUAGGGGCGAAAGACUAAAUCGAAACCAUCUAGUAGCUGGGUUCUGCGAAG
rnacentral:rRNA from 1 species